rnacentral:rRNA from 1 species
CGAACGCUGGCGGCGUGCUUAACACAUGCAAGUCGAACGGAAAGGCCCCUUUGGGGGUACUCGAGUGGCGAACGGGUGAGUAACACGUGAGUAACCUGCCCUUGACUUCGGGAUAACUUCAGGAAACUGGGGCUAAUACCGGAUAGGAAUCCUUGCUGCAUGGUGGGGGUUGGAAAGCUUCGGCGGGUUUGGAUGGACUCGCGGCUUAUCAGCUUGUUGGUGGGGUAGUGGCUUACCAAGGCUUUGACGGGUAGCCGGCCUGAGAGGGCGACCGGCCACAUUGGGACUGAGAUACGGCCCAGACUCCGACGGGAGGCAGCAGUGGGGAAUAUUGCACAAUGGGCGGAAGCCUGAUGCAGCAACGCCGCGUGCGGGAUGACGGCCUUCGGGUUGUAAACCGCUUUCAGCAGGGGCGAAGCUUGUGGUGACGGUACCUGCAGAAGAAGCACCGGCUAACUACGUG